UUUUAAUGUUAUGGCUGACCAGUGUAUAUGCAAGUACACUUCUAGAGUUCCUGAUAAAUUAACUGCAUUUUUAAAAAGGUUCUUAGGCACCCAGGAUAUUCUGCUAGCACACCAGCGCCAAGAUUCUGAACUCCUCAGAUCGAAACUCGGCUCUGCCACCGGUCAGCUGGGUGCCAUCUAGCGAGCACAAUUGACUGGGUGGGGUGACCGGACUAUAAGUGGGUGGGGUCUUCAAACGCUGUGUAAGGACACUGGUUUGCAGAUAGAGGCACCUGUGCAGAAAGCAGGGGGGAAAAGAAGGAGUCUGCUAGGACUGUGCACUGCUCGGAGGAGGCGUGAGCAGAAAAUAUACCCACCUCGAAUGCAAUCAGGGAUCCACAGCAGCAAAAGCCAAAAAGACUAAUUGGCUAAAUCGAGAGAAAAAGGGGAGAAAAUGCAUAAAUAUGUAGAAAAACCGUUCCUGUGUUAGAAAUACACUAGGACUCCUAAGUUUCUAAAACACUUGUGGGUUCAUGUAAAAUGCACCAUAUCAUUUUUAGGGACAAAUCCUUCAUGGUUUUGGAAUGGGGUGUCCAACAAGCUCAUGGUCAGGUGUCCUCAUACUUUUGGCUGUUUUGGACAUAAAGUUGGUUCAAUAAUAAUAUAACUUAAUUUAACUACGUAUUUUUUAAAUUAUGGUAGUAUAAUUACUUUUUGUCCCUCGUGCCUUAUGUAGCAUUUUAUUAACACUUUAAAUACAAACAAGAAUAAAAACCCUUAUUUUGAAGCUAAACAAGUUCUUCCUGGAUUAGAGUUCAGGAGGAGAAGCAGCCAUUUUUCAGAGCACAUGGUUGGAUUAUGCGGAGCGGCAUAGGUUUUGGGGAUCUGGAAUGAAAUCCUUGCCAGCGGUCACAGUCAUUAAAAAGUUUUGCAUGUUUUAUUGGCAACUACAGCUUUAAAUUGUCUGUGCGUAUCCAAUCACCUGACUGCAAUACGCUUCCUCUCUACUGAUGUUAACCUCCACCCUGAUUGAGGAGAGCAAGAUGGACGCUUGCCCCCUCCGACACGUGUGCAGUACCAACUGCGUCUUUUCACCUGCACGAUAUGGAUCAGCUUUGUGUACAGAGAGCCACACCCUGAUCCUCAUUAUCCCUCAACUCUGUGCAGGCGCCAUCAAUCAGGCAGCAGAGGUCGUAAAUGCAUCAGUUAUGAGGUCCCUGUCUGACUCCUUCCCUGGAUGAACAACAGCCAAACAGCCAACCGUUAUUCCUUUAGCCAGCCAGCCCAGUCGGAUGGCAGAGCUGAGAUUUUAACACGAUGUAUUUGAAA